rnacentral:rRNA from 1 species
AGAGAGAGACAUGCGCGCAUAUCAAUAAGCGGAGGAAAAGAAACUAACAAGGAUUCCCUUAGUAACGGCGAGUGAAGCGGGAAGAGCUCAAAUUUGAAAUCUUCAAGGUUUUACCUUGACGAAUUGUAGUUUAAAGAAGUGUUUUCUGCUGAAGUUUUGGUAAAAGUUCUUUGGAAUAGGACAUCAUAGAGGGUGAGAAUCCCGUAUUUGACCAUUAUUUUCAGCUUUGUGAUACACUUUCAAAGAGUCGGAUUGUUUGGGAAUGCAGUCCAAAAUGGGUGGUAAAUUUCAUCUAAAGCUAAAUAUUGGCGAGAGACCGAUAGCGAACAAGUACCGUGAGGGAAAGAUGAAAAGAACUUUGAAAAGAGAGUUAAACAGUACGUGAAAUUGUCAAAAGGGAAGCGUUUGACACCAGUGUUGUUUUCUCGAAAAUCAAUUAAAAAUGGCUCGAUUUUGUAUUGUUGAGACCUUAAAAGCUCACUGUACAUUUUUCGUGUCUUUUUAAUGCACUUUUCGUUUAACAAGUCAACAUCAGUUUCUUUUGUUGUAGAAGGGUCAUUGGAAGGUGGCUUUCUUUUCGGAGAAAGUGUUUAUAGCCUUUGGCCUCUGCAAUCGGAGAGACUGAGGUCUGCAGCGUAGACUCUUCGGGGUUAGAUACAUUUGUGCUAAGUUAUAGCUUUUUAUAGACAACUUGUUGACUAUAAUUAGUCUUGUAGCUUACUCGCUUAUGCUAUUUUACCUACGCUUAGGAUGUUGAAGUCAUCGUAUCGCGC